GGCUCAGAUUGAACGCUGGCGGCAUGCCUUACACAUGCAAGUCGAACGGCAGCACGGACUUCGGUCUGGUGGCGAGUGGCGAACGGGUGAGUAAUGCAUCGGAACGUGCCAUUGAGUGGGGGAUAACGUAGCGAAAGUUGCGCUAAUACCGCAUAUUCUGUGAGCAGGAAAGCGGGGGACCGCAAGGCCUUGCGCUCUUUGAGCGGCCGAUGUCAGAUUAGCUAGUUGGUGAGGUAAAGGCUUACCAAGGCGACGAUCUGUAGCGGGGUCUGAGAGGAUGAUCCGCCACACUGGAACUGAGACACGGUCCAGACUCCUACGGGAGGCAGCAGUGGGGAAUUUUGGGCAAUGGGGGCAACCCUGAUCCAGCCAUGCCGCGUGAGUGAAGAAGGCCUUCGGGUUGUAAAGCUCUUUCGGCCGGGAAGAAAUCGCAUGGGCCAAUACCCUGUGUGGAUGACGGUACCGGAAUAAGAAGCACCGGCUAACUACGUG
rnacentral:rRNA from 1 species